rnacentral:rRNA from 1 species
AAUGAACGCUGGCGGCAGGCCUAAAACAUGCAAGUCGAACGCCCUAGCAAUAGGGAGUGGCGCACGGGUGAGUAACAUGUGGGAAUAUGCCUUUUGGUACGGAACAACGUUUGGAAACGAACGCUAAUACCGUAUGGUCCCUCCGGGGUAAAGAUUUAUCGCCAAAGGAUUAGCCCGCACUAGAUUAGCUAGUUGGUAAGGUAAUGGCUUACCAAGGCGACGAUCUAUAGCUGUUCUGAGAGGAAGAUCAGCCACACUGGGACUGAGACACGGCCCAGACUCCUACGGGAGGCAGCAGUUAGGAAUAUUGGACAAUGGGCGCAAGCCUGAUCCAGCCAUGCCGCGUGAGUGAUGAAGGCCUUCGGGUUGUAAAGCUCUUUAGCCGACGAAUAUAAUGACUGUAGUCGGAGAAUAAGCCCCGGCUAACUUCGUGCUAGCCGCCGCCGUAAAAC